AAAAAGCUCACAGAGUAGUGAAAAGAAGCAACAUUAAAUGUGCUUUUACUACUGAAUGUAACCACAGUUUGAUCAAAAUGCAAUUACAACACAGAGGAGGGUGUUAUAAAAUCUAUGGCCAAUAACUAAUUCUAGUUUCAUGAAGAUAAUGACAGUUGGCUUGGGUCUUGAAGCUUUUAGGAUUUCUUAAAGAAAUAGACAAAAAGGGAGAUGAUUUUACAUAAUUAUGUAAAAGCAUAUGUAAAGAAACAAAAAGUAUUCCUUUAUCUGAGCUAUUUUACUGAACUUUUGAGCUUGGUUUCCAAUGCCUUCCUGGCUAUUUGAUUUUGAAUAAGCUCUUAUCAACUGAAAUGAAAAAAAAAUAGUAAAAAAGGAUGGAAAAAUAGCAAAAAAACAUAAGAGGGAGAAUAGGAGGGAGAUUCUCCUUUUCAUUAAUUCUUCCUUUGGUAAAAUUCUUUGUCUCAUAAAAAUGUAUCCACAGUAAAAUACAUUUUAUAAUUUAUUUGUAUUAUUUUGUAACUCUAAUACAAUGUUUUUCAAACUUGACUGCACAUUGGAGUUAACUUGGGAGAUUUAAAAAAACAUAUUGAUGCCUGUGGGCCACUCCCAGGGAUUUUUUUUACCUAAUUGGUCUGGAGUACAUUGCUGGCACU
rnacentral:lncRNA from 1 species